CAGCUAGGACCCGAACCCUGUAAUCAUAAAUCCAUUAAUUACUAGACUUCUUCUGUAUGAAUAGAAGUCUGGUAAGGUGCUUAUUAUUUAGAUGACAGAGAGAGUGUUUCCUGUUUGUCUGGUUCUGUUCUUACGAAGUAUCCUGCUACAAACAAGUGCUUUGGCUGAAGGCUCAGCUUUCAUAGGAUCAGUCUGGUUUUACCAAGGCACCAUCUUAUUCAGAAGUCAAGAACAACAACAACAUGGAUGGGGGGAGCAGUAAAGACGGACUCAUUCCUUGCAUUUCGAAGAAGGAUCAUGUCAUUUUCAUUUAGACAUAAGCCUCACUGUGCACGGAAGUAUUAAAGGCUUAGUGAGUCAUUUAUACCUAGCUGUACUUCCAAACAUUGUGGUGGCUUUCAUUGUAGCUCGAUGUCACUGCCUGCAUGUGUGUGCACAGAAGAGGAUUGUCCACUGUGACCGACACGUCAAAGAGGGUUCUAGGUUUUAUUCACUGCAGUAUCAUAAGAAAACACUGUUCCUGGCAGGAUUACACAGCAGGAAAGAAGAGAAGAGAAGAGAAGAGAAAAGGAGAUUUCCAUCCUAGUUUGAAGAUUGGAUAGAAUCACAGAACUGUAGGGGUUGGAAGGGACCUCGAAAGAUCAUUGGGUCCAACCCCCCUGCCAAAGCAGGUUGCCCAGAAAAUAAAUUUGUGAUACUUCAAGAACUUCAGUGUUACAGCACCUAAAAUGCCUUUGGAUUGGAUACCUUCAAGAUCAAGUCACAGUCAUGCAGAGAUUGCAUCUCUGAAGCUGGAAUUAGGAGAUUCAGGAACCUCCAUCCCUUGGUAGCUCUUGCCCUUGGUGCUAUUUUAUACUAUUCUGAAGUUUUCACACCCAUGGGAGUAAUUAAAGACAAUGCAAGAAUAUUACUUGAA